GAGCAAUGUGAGGGAUGUCACUAUGGAGUUAAAACAAGUCUCUGGUGAAGUCAUGUGUGUGUUUACAAUGAGGCUUCCCUGCUCUUAAUGGAUCUCUCCUGAGAGCAACUAUUCCCUGUUUCAUUCCAAACCUGUGUCUGGAGAAUUGGAAUAUUCUCCAUGCCUCUACUUGGAACAACAGAGCUUUCAUGAAAAGCCAAGUUAAUUUCUGUUUAUCCUGGUUAAAUGCCAAGAACUACAGCACACUUAGGAAGAAAUUAUCAAUCAAAUAAUCAACAUGUUAAUUGAACAAGAAAGACUCUCACCUCCACGAUUUCAGUGCUCGAAUACCGCGUCAAAAUGUGCUCUGCUGGAUGCACCACUGAGACUUGGAUAAACGUAUUCAGCUUCCGAUCAC